rnacentral:rRNA from 1 species
UACGAAGGGGGCUAGCGUUGCUCGGAAUCACUGGGCGUAAAGCGCACGUAGGCGGGUCGCUAAGUCGGGGGUGAAAUCCUGGAGCUCAACUCCAGAACUGCCUUCGAUACUGGCGAUCUUGGAGUCCGGGAGAGGUGAGUGGAACUCCGAGUGUAGAGGUGAAAUUCGUAGAUAUUCGGAAGAACACCAGUGGCGAAGGCGGCUCACUGGCCCGGUACUGACGCUGAGGCACGAAAGCGUGGGGGAGCAAACAGGGA